rnacentral:rRNA from 1 species
AACGAACGCUGGCGGCAGGCUUAACACAUGCAAGUCGAGCGCCUCGCAAGAGAAGCGGCCGACGGGUGAGUAGCGCGUGGGAACGUACCCUUAUCUUCGGAAUAGCUCUGGGAGACUGGAAGUAAUACCGAAUGUGCCCUUAGGGGGAAAGAUUUAUCGGAUAAGGAUCGGCCCGCGUUGGAUUAGCUGGUUGGUGGGGUAAAGGCCUACCAAGGCGACGAUCCAUAGCUGGUCAGAGAGGAAGAUCAGACACAUUGGGACGGAGACACGGCCCAGACUCUUACGCGAGGCAGGAGUGGGGAAUAGUGGACAAUGGGCGCAAGCCUGAUCCAGCCAUGACGCGUGAGUGAUGAAGGCCGUAGGGUUGUAAAGCGCUAUCACCGGAGAAGAUAAUGACGGUAUCCGGAGAAGAAGCCCCGGCUAACUUCGUG